CGCCUCAGGGCAGGGCGGGCCGGGUUCCCGCCCCACGGCCUAGGGCGCUGCAUCCGCAGUGAGAACCGCAGCUCCCUUUCCAAACGUUCCGUGUCUGAGGGAGCGACUGCGGAGGCUCUGGACCAGCCGCCGUGCGUAGGAAGCUUCCUCAGCUGGCUGAGCGCUGAGCGGGGAGAUUCGAGGAUGUUUCUGGGGAGAAAUCCCAGCACGGGCUCAGAGGAAGUGGAGAUUCCCUUCAGUGGGACGUGAACACACUCAAUACUCAGUAUCAGGACCUUCGAGGAGAAUGAGCUGGGGACCCGCCUUCCGAGUCAUGUUGGAACCAGAACUCCAGUGGUCUGGAACUGAACCUGCAAUAUCUCAAAGAUGUGCCUGCACAAGGAAAUCACGGACUCUUGUUUUUUCAUGAUGAGAUAAAAAUAGACUACCUCAUCCUUCCUGUCUUUGUCUAGUUAAAGCCUUUAAGAUGCCCCAGUAACCUUCAGAACCAAGAAGUAAUGAUUGUCAAGUCCCUGUGACCCAGUAUAUGUUGUGCAUAACGUCCCUGGAAAUCAUUAGCUCUAGAGAAUCCACAGACUAACUAAUUUGUGUAUGUGUUCAUGGCAUAAGUUGCCCCUGGAUUGCUGCAAUUAUCUGUAGAUAGAAGGAGGGACUUAGCCUGAAAAAGGAUAGUCACCUCACUUGCAUUCAAUAUUAUUUCAACAUCAGGUUUAAGUUGUGAAAUGUCAGAGGGGGUGGUCAUUAUAUCACAUGAUAAAAAGUUUAGACUUUAUCUGGACAGUAAUGAGCUCAGUGAACAAUUUAUUUCUAAAUGAUUACCUUGGUAACCGAGUGGUAAAUGUAUUAAAGGAGAAUUUGAGAAAUGCUUAGAAGAAGAAUUCCUUCUUCUUGGAACCUGGUAACUUAGUGACUAAGUAAGGCAGAUAGGGUUAAGGGCAAGGAGGCACAGAAGUAUGAUGUCUAGGUGUUUGAUUAAGUAAACUGGGAGAGGUGGUUGUAAGACUCGGAGAGGAAUAAGUUUGGAGGCAGGAACACAGAAUUCAACUGUGGUCAUGUUAAUUUAUCUACGCUGUCUAUGAAAUACUGAGGUUAGUGUAUAUUUAGUAAUCAGCUGGAUAGUUAAGUUUGAACUCUGGGGGAAGUAAAGAUUUUUAA